rnacentral:rRNA from 1 species
AUAAUAUAAACGGCGUAAAACACGACUAAAUUAUAGUCUAACUAUUAGAGCUAAAACUUAAGCCAGGCUGUAAAAAGCCAUAAGCCACAAUAAAGCUCUAACAACAAACAAAUUCCACUCGUGAAAGCCAGGACACAAACUAAGAUUAGAUACCUUACUAUGCCUAGCCGUAACACAACAAUUAAAUUACCAAUUGUUCGCCAAAUAACUACGAGUAAAGACUUAAAAUUUAAAAGACUUGACGGUACCUCAUAACAACCUAGAGGAGCCUGUCAAAUAACCGAUACUCCACGAUUAACCCAACCUCCCCUAGCCUUAACAGUCUAUAUACCGCCGUCGCCAGCCUACCUUGUGAAAGAAACAAAGUGAGCUAAACAGCCACCACACUAACACGACAGGUCGAGGUGUAACUUAUGGGAAGGAUCAUGAUGGGCUACAUUUUCUAAAACAGAAAACACGAAUAAACUAUGAAAUAAGAAACUGAAGGCGGAUUUAGCAGUAAACUAAGAACAAAAUACCUAGUCGAAAUCAAUGCAAUGAGGUGCGUACACACCGCCCGUCAUCCCUGUCAACCAAACAACAAAAUUCAUAAA